GAUGAACGCUGGCGGCGUGCCUAAUACAUGCAAGUCGAGCGAACGGACGAGAAGCUUGCUUUUCUGAUGUUAGCGGCGGACGGGUGAGUAACACGUGGAUAACCUACCUAUAAGACUGGGAUAACUUCGGGAAACCGGAGCUAAUACCGGAUAAUAUUUUGAACCGCAUGGUUCAAAAGUGAAAGACGGUCUUGCUGUCACUUAUAGAUGGAUCCGCGCUGCAUUAGCUAGUUGGUAAGGUAACGGCUUACCAAGGCAACGAUGCAUAGCCGACCUGAGAGGGGGAUCGGCCACACUGGAACUGUGACACGGUCCAGACUCCUACGGGAGGCAGCAGUAGGGAAUCUUCCGCAAAGGGCGAAAGCCUGACGGAGCAACGCCGCGUGAGUGAUGAAGGUCUUCGGAUCGUAAAACUCUGUUAUUAGGGAAGAACAUAUGUGUAAGUAACUGUGCACAUCUUGACGGUACCUAAUCAGAAAGCCACGGCUAACUACGUG
rnacentral:rRNA from 1 species